AUCGCUUCUGUGCGUUUUGGCUAAGAUCAAGUCUAGUAUCUGGUCUUAUCAGUUUAAUAUCUGAUACGUCCCCUAUCCGUGGCCAUAUAUUAAAUUGAUUUUUAAAGCUAGGAGAUGGAAUAGGGGCUUGCUCCGUCCACUUCACGCAUUGAUCUGGUAUUACAGUACCUCCGGGAACGGUGCACCCCCA